rnacentral:rRNA from 1 species
UACAGAGGUCUCAAGCGUUGUUCGGAUUCAUUGGGCGUAAAGGGUGCGUAGGCGGCGCGGUAAGUCGGGUGUGAAAUCUCGGAGCUUAAUUCCGAAACUGCAUUCGAUACUGCCGUGCUUGAGGACUGGAGAGGAGACUGGAAUUUACGGUGUAGCGGUGAAAUGCGUAGAUAUCGUAAGGAAGACCAGUGGCGAAGGCGGGUUGCUGGGCCGACACUGACGCUGAUGCGCGAAAGCCAGGGGAGCCGAACGGG